GGUCCUUGACGUUAGUGACGGCUCCUUUGUCUCUCCAAUCGAAAUCUUUUGGGAGAUUGUUGGUGGGGAGGAUGGGGGCCUUCUGCGCGUUCGCCGGCAAGCGGAGCGGUUUGAGACCGAGGAACUGGCGAUGGAACUCCGCCGGAGUGAGAUCGGAGAAUUUGGUGACGCCGUGGACGGCGGAGGGGUCGAGUUGCGCGUGAAGCCUCGCCCUGCGCAGGUUUGACUUGAAUACUCCGAAGCGAUGAUCGUGCUCCUCCUUCGUCGCGUAGGUUUUCCCGAACUUCGCCUUGAAGUUCGAGAAGUGGUGCUCCGCGUUCAGCAGGUGGUCCUCCACCUCGCCCUCUGGCACCACCUGACGGAUCAGGAUGUCGUCGGCGUCGGUGUUGGCGCCAGCGGCGACGGCCACGGCGGCGAAGAGGAGGAGAGCGCAGAGUGAGUAGCGAGCCAUGGGGAAGUCAAAAGGGAA
rnacentral:lncRNA from 1 species